rnacentral:tRNA from 1 species
GGGGUUGUGGCUCAGUGGUAGAGUGCUUGUGUAGCAUGCAUGAGGCACUGGGUUCGAUCCCCAGCACCA